GGGCACAUGGUAUAGUUGGUUAUCACAUCCGCUUAGCAAGGACUUCUUUGACCAGACGCUGCUUGCAGGGGGUGCUGGGUUCAAUUCCCAGUCUGCACA